rnacentral:rRNA from 1 species
AUUGAACGCUGGCGGCAGGCCUAACACAUGCAAGUCGAGCGAGAGGCGCGCGGGGGAGUAAUGUGUGUGAAACUGCCUGAUGGGGGGGGAUAACUACUGGAAACGGUGGCGAAUACCGCAUACCAUCAGAUGUGCCCAGAUGGGAUUAGCUAGUAGGUGGGGUAACGGCUCACCUAGGCGACGCGCCCUAGCUGGUCUGAGAGGAUGACCAGCCACACUGGAACUGAGACACGGUCCAGACUCCUACGUGAGGCAGCAGUGGGGAAUAUUGCACAAUGGGCGCAAGCCUGAUGCAGCCAUGCCGCGUGUGUGAAGAAGGCCUUCGGGUUGUAAAGCACUUUCAGCGGGGAGGCGUUACCCGCAGAAGAAGCACCGGCUAACUCCGUGCCAGCAGCCGCGGUAAUAC